GCGUUGUUCGGAAUUACUGGGCGUAAAGCGCGCGUAGGCGGCUUUGUAAGUUAGAGGUGAAAGCCCGGAGCUCAACUCCGGAACUGCCUUUAAGACUGCAUCGCUAGAAUUGGGUAGAGGUGAGUGGAAUUCCGAGUGUAGAGGUGAAAUGCGUAGAUAUGCGGAAGAACACCAGUGGCGAAGGCGACUCACUGGACACAUAUUGACGCUGAGGUGCGAAAGCGUG
rnacentral:rRNA from 1 species